GCGUGUGUGAGUUGCGCGGUGGAACCACCCCGUCCCAUCCCGAACCGGGUCGUGAAACGCCGCAGCGCCGAUGCUACUGGGGUUUGAGCCCUGGGAACGUAGGUCCACGCACGCU
rfam:Scytonema tolypothrichoides VB-61278 scaffold_29, whole genome shotgun sequence.